rnacentral:rRNA from 1 species
GAUGAACGCUGGCGGCGUGCCUAAUACAUGCCAGUCGAGCGAACAGACGAGGAGCUUGCUCCUCUGACGUUAGCGGCGGACGGGUGAGUAACACGUGGAUAACCUACCUAAGACUGGGAUAACUUCGGGAAACCGGAGCUAAUACCGGAUAAUAUAUUGAACCGCAUGGUUCAAUAGUGAAAGACGGUUUUGCUGUCACUUAUAGAUGGAUCCGCGCCGCAUUAGCUAGUUGGUAAGGUAACGGCUUACCAAGGCAACGAUGCGUAGCCGACCUGAGAGGGUGAUCGGCCACACUGGAACUGAGACACGGUCCAGACUCCUACGGGAGGCAGCAGUAGGGAAUCUUCCGCAAUGGGCGAAAGCUUGACGGAGCAACGCCGCGUGAGUGAUGAAGGUCUUCGGAUCGUAAAACUCUGUUAUUAGGGAAGAACAAAUGUGUAAGUAACUAUGCACGUCUUGACGGUACCUAAUCAGAAAGCCACGGCUAACUACGUG